UGUCCUUGAUUUUGAUAGUAUGUCCUUGACCCCAGCUGGGCCUGAUGACUUUGAUGCCUAAGCCUCUCUGUUUUACUUCCUCAAGGAGGAGGCUUGGUUUUCUGCUAGGUUGAAGAGGAGCAGCUGUGCUGCUCCAUUGGGUAGAGGAGUCCUGGAUGGUGGACUUAGUGCCUUUUUUUUAAGUAACUGAAGUACAGGUGACACACAGUGUUGCGUUAGUUUCAGGUGUGCAAAGUAGUGACUCAACAACUCUGUUUGCUGUGCUGCGCUCACCACCAGUAUUACUGCCACCUGUCACCAUGCAAUGAUAUUACACUAUGUCCUAUUACUAUUACUAUGACUAUGUUCUAUGACUAUGACUAUUGCUACUGACUAUGUUCCCAACGCUGUGCCUUUCAUUCCCAGGAGAAAGUGCCUUUACAUGGACACUCGAUCAAGCCUUCAGUUUCCAGCCUCCCCACCGAGCUGGACACUUUCAGAGAGAUGAAUUCUUACUUGGAGAGAAUGAAAUCAGUACAACAGAGGAAAGCAGAGCCUGGAGACAGAGAACUGAUGACAAGACUUGGGAUCGAUCCAGCUCCAUCUAAAGCCAGAACGCCCGUGGACUUCCAGCUGGAUCCUCAUUCGAUUUCACUGACGCCUGGCCAAGUGUGUGUACUCAACUCCAGACUGAGAGCCCUGGCUUCUGCAGGAUAUUCUCAUCAUCACACUCACUCUUCUGAGGUCCUAGCCUGUUUGUGAUCUCUGCUUUCUGACUGCCCGCCCUGUGGAUACUAGGCUUGCUUAACCGGUUCCUCCAU